rnacentral:rRNA from 1 species
GACGAACGCUGGCGGCGUGCUUAACACAUGCAAGUCGAACGGAAAGGCCCUGCUUUUGUGGGGUGCUCGAGUGGCGAACGGGUGAGUAACACGUGAGUAACCUGCCCUUGACUUUGGGAUAACUUCAGGAAACUGGGGCUAAUACCGGAUAGGAGCUCCUGCUGCAUGGUGGGGGUUGGAAAGUUUCGGCGGUUGGGGAUGGACUCGCGGCUUAUCAGCUUGUUGGUGGGGUAGUGGCUUACCAAGGCUUUGACGGGUAGCCGGCCUGAGAGGGUGACCGGCCACAUUGGGACUGAGAGACGGGCCAGACUCCUACGGGAGGCAGAAGUGGGGAAUAUUGCACAAUGGGCGGAAGACUGAUGCAGCAACGCCGCGUGCGGGAUGACGGCCUUCGGGUUGUAAACAGCUUUCGCCUGUGACGAAGAGUGAGUGACGGUAAUGGGUAAAGAAGCACCGGCUAACUACGUG